rnacentral:rRNA from 1 species
UACGUAGGGGGCAAGCGUUGCCCGGAUUUAUUGGGCGUAAAGAGCUCGUAGGUGGUUUGGUAAGUCGGAUGUGAAAUCUCCAGGCUCAACCUGGAGGGGUCAUUCGAUACUGCCAUGACUAGAGGUCGGUAGGGGAGUGUGGAAUUCCUGGUGGAGCGGUGAAAUGCGCAGAUAUCAGGAGGAACACCCGUAGCGAAGGCGGCACUCUGGGCCGAUACUGACACUGAGGAGCGAAAGCGUGGGGAGCGAACAGG